CUCCUACGGGGGGCAGCAGUGGGGAAUAUUGCACAAUGGGCGCAAGCCUGAUGCAGCCAUGCCGCGUGUGUGAAGAAGGCCUUAGGGUUGUAAAGCACUUUCAGUGGGGAGGAAAGGUUGAAGGUUAAUACCCUUUGGCUGUGACGUUACCCACAGAAGAAGCACCGGCUAACUCCGUGCCAGCAGCCGCGGUAAUACGGAGGGUGCGAGCGUUAAUCGGAAUUACUGGGCGUAAAGCGUGCGUAGGCGGCCACCUAAGUUGGAUGUGAAAGCCCCGGGCUCAACCCGGGAACUGCAUCCAAAACUGGGUGGCUGGAGUACGGGAGAGGAGUGUGGAAUUUCUCGUGUAGCGG
rnacentral:rRNA from 1 species